rnacentral:rRNA from 1 species
AUUGAACGCUGGCGGCAGGCCUAACACAUGCAAGUCGAGCGGAUGACGGGAGCUUGCUCCUUGAUUCAGCGGCGGACGGGUGAGUAAUGCCUAGGAAUCUGCCUGGUAGUGGGGGACAACGUUUCGAAAGGAGCGCUAAUACCACAUACGUCCUACGGGAGAAAGCAGGGGACCUGCGGGCCUUGCGCUAUCAGAUGAGCCUAGGUCGGAUUAGCUAGUUGGUGAGGUAAUGGCUCAACAAGGCGACGAUCCGCAACUGGUCUGAGAGGAUGAUCAGUCACAGUGGAGUUGAGGCACGGUCCAGACUCCUGGGGGAGGCAGCAGUGGGGAAUAUUGGACGAUGGGCAAAAGCCUGAUCCAGCCAUGCCGCGUGUGUGAAGAAGGUCUUCGGAUUGUAAAGCACUUUAAGUUGGGAGGAAGGGCAGUAAGCUAAUACCUUGCUGUUUUGACGUUACCGACAGAAUAAGCACCGGCUAACUCUGUGCCAGCAGCCGCCGUAAAAC